UACAGAGGUCCCAAGCGUUGUUCGGAAUUACUGGGCGUAAAGGGCUCGUAGGCGGCCAACUAAGUCAUACGUGAAAUCCCUCGGCUUAACCGGGGAACUGCGUCUGAUACUGGAUGGCUUGAGUUCGGGAGAGGGAUGCGGAAUUCCAGGUGUAGCGGUGAAAUGCGUAGAUAUCUGGAGGAACACCGGUGGCGAAGGCGGCAUCCUGGACCGAUACUGACGCUGAGGAGCGAAAGCCAGGGGAGCAAACGGG
rnacentral:rRNA from 1 species